rnacentral:rRNA from 1 species
AGAGUUUGAUCAUGGCUCAGAUUGAACGCUGGCGGCAUGCCUUACACAUGCAAGUCGAACGGUAACGCGGGGCAACCUGGCGACGAGUGGCGAACGGGUGAGUAAUGCAUCGGAACGUGCCCAGUAGUGGGGGAUAGCCCGGCGAAAGCCGGAUUAAUACUGCAUACGACCUACGGGUGAAAGCGGGGGACCGUAAGGCCUCGCGCUAUUGGAGCGGCCGAUGUCAGAUUAGGUAGUUGGUGGGGUAAAGGCCUACCAAGCCUACGAUCUGUAGCUGGUCUGAGAGGACGACCAGCCACACUGGGACUGAGACACGGCCCAGACUCCUGCGGGAGGCAGCAGUGGGGAAUUUUGGACAAUGGGCGCAAGCCUGAUCCAGCCAUGCCGCGUGCGGGAAGAAGGCCUUCGGGUUGUAAACCGCUUUUGUCAGGGAAGAAAUCCUUUGGGUUAAUACCCCGGGGGGAUGACGGUACCUGAAGAAUAAGCACCGGCUAACUACGUGCCAGCAGCCGCGGUAAUACGUAGGGUGCAAGCGUUAAUCGGAAUUACUGGGCGUAAAGCGUGCGCAGGCGGUUUUGUAAGACAGAGGUGAAAUCCCCGGGCUCAACCUGGGAACUGCCUUUGUGACUGCAAGGCUUGAGUGCGGCAGAGGGGGAUGGAAUUCCGCGUGUAGCAGUGAAAUGCGUAGAUAUGCGGAGGAACACCGAUGGCGAAGGCAAUCCCCUGGGCCUGCACUGACGCUCAUGCACGAAAGCGUGGGGAGCAAACAGGAUUAGAUACCCUGGUAGUCCAA